rnacentral:sRNA from 1 species
ACGGGGACAGAAUAAGGGUUUGACGGAUUUAUAUAGCUCUCUCUGUACUUGAUAUGAGGUGGGGAGCUCAUUGAUCGAGGGAUAUAUACACGCUUUUACGCCCAUACCAUUUUUCUUUUCCUUGAUUUUUAGUUGUAUUUUUUUUUUAGAUUUCGGAUACCCCCCUUUCGCAGAUUCUGGGCUCUAUAUGGAUGGCGUGAGAGUGAGGCGAGAUGAGAUGUCUGCGACUUUUGAGCGCGGCUGAUUGCGAAUAUGCUACUCGAAUACACGGAGCACGUUCGAGUAAUUUUUGGACCGGAAGUUAGCGUCCACUUAUUCUUCCGGUGGAGACAUGCCUGUAAGAGGUGGAAUAAGUUUUGGGCUUCCAUCAACGAUACAUUACUUAUCCAUAUUCGUCGAGUUUUACUCUUAGAGCCAUUCCUCGCGGAAAAGAAAGAGUGAACAAACAAAAGGUUGAUGUGCAAAUAAUUUCCUUCUCCUUCAAUUGUCCCUCAUACUCUGCAUCUCUCAAAUAAUAACAUUAUUAUUAAUACAACGCUUGAAGAAGGCUUAGUCAAGUGGAGAGUUACGUACACGCAUUAAACUGAUUUGCAUCGAUCUCAUGAGAAAACAAUGAAAGGUUUAAAAAAAAAAAAAAAAAAAAAAAAAAAAAAAAAAAAGCUAGCAGUUCAUUAAAAACUUUGGCUAACAAACAAAUAUAAGAACAACCAUAUAGUUCAACCACAAAAUGCAUUCAUGUCAGACCGUGGAAAAAAAGGAAAACAUUGGCGCGCGACCCCUCCAUAUAUGUGUACCAUCAUCCCGGUCGUGAUUUGUAACAUUAUUGAAGCAAAAGGAGAAAACCCAAGCGAACAAAAGCAUUAACGAAACAGAGGCAUUUAACACAUCCAGGGACUUCUAAGAGGUUCGUCUCUCUAUUAAGAUAGAUCACCGCCUCUAACCCCCGCCAAUGCCAUUGAGACCACCCCCUUUUUUCUUUUUGAGUAAAACUACAAGAGCCCAAAAACCAUGAUUCUUAACUGGGCUAUGUGUAUUUCGUCCCCUUUUUCACCUUGACAGUACAAAUUCUCAACCUCACAACGCCAUCACAACGGCAAUAGCACCGCUGAGCCCAAGAACUGCUAACAACCCUUUCUCUAGAUCGACAGUUACAAUCGGUGCCGCAUUUGUCUGCAAACCAGGUGGUCUUUGCGAUGAGGAUCCUUGUGAAUUAGUUGGUGAAGGCUGGACAACGAUGACCGAUGUAAUCGUACUGGGAGACCCAUCUGAAUUUGUGGUCUGGAUGAGCGUGGUUGAGGUUCGCGGAGGAGGAGUGGUGGUCGGGUUGUUAUUGGUAGUGAGCAGUGUGGACCUGGAGCUAGAUCCACGGCUGGGGUUGUUUAUGGAACUGGGUGGUUGGGGGGUUGGUUGGGGAGUUGGAGUUGGUUCUGGAGUUCCCUGAGAGUUGGUGGUUUCUGGAGGGGGUGGUGUCGUUGUCGAACUUGGGGGUGGAGGAGUGGUUGUUUCCGGAGGUGGCACGCUGGUAGUUGGGGGAUCGGCUGUUGAAAUUGAUGGUGUAGGUGUUGGGGUGACGGAGCUGUCCCUGCCCGGGGUAUCAAGGGGAGUGUUAAUGGAUGCUAGUGGAACGCUGUCCUCUCGUUUGGCUAACCCAUGUGGACGAGAAAUGAUAUAAUCCUCGAGGUAUUUAUCUCGGGCCCAGAUCCUAGCUGGGAGGCCCUUGAAGAAACUGGAAAAUGGUGUAUUGGAGCGGGCAUGUCGCCCUCUUUGCAGGUCAACAGCGCACGCUGAAGUGAUUAGGAGAAAGCCUAGGAGGAGUAUCGAAAUCCGCGGUCGAAUCAUUUUGAUUCGACCACCGUGGAAUGAUGAGCAGAGAUAGAGAUAUAACUCUCAAGAUGGGUUUGGAUUGGUACGGAUAAGGAGAGAGAAAUGAGGGGCCAACAGCCGAUGCUCGAUGGGAUAUAGAGGAAAAGCCAGGUAAUAGAAGAAAUGAUGCAAAAACAAAAGGAUUUGCUAGCUCGAAAGAGUAAACCAAAAUAGAAGAAGCUGUGAGACAAUGCUUCACUAAUGAAUGCAACCGGAUGGAGAAAAUGCAAGAAGCGGCUUGAGAACGAUUUCCGUUGAGAUGGGUGAAGAUUACGCGGGAGGAUUUUAUUUACGCACAACUGUUUAUAUAGUGUUUGUUUAUCGUCAACUCCAUCGGCCUGGUGGGGAAAAUUUUUAAGGUCUGGUGUCAUAGUAACAACCUUACAACGUAUACAACAACACAAAUGGCUUGUCG